rnacentral:rRNA from 1 species
GGAUAAAAGGUGGUCCGGGAAUAACAGUAUGGUACGUGCCAUGAGUUGAUAUCGACGGCGGUUUUUGGCACUUCGAUGUCGGCUCAUCACAUCCUGGGGCUGAAGUAGGUCCGAAGGGUAUGGCAUGUUCGCAAUUUAAAGUGGUACGCGAGCUGGGUUKAGAWCGUCGUGAGACAGUUCGGUCCCUAUCUGCCGUGGGCGCUGGAGAACUGAGGGGGGCUGCUCCUAGUACGAGAGGACCGGAGUGGACGCAUCACUGGUGUUCGGGUUGUCAUGCCAAUGGCACUGCCCGGUAGCUAAAUGCGGAAGAGAUAAGUGCUGAAAGCAUCUAAGCACGAAACUUGCCCCGAGAUGAGUUCUCCCUGACUCCUUGAGAGUCCUGAAGGAACGUUGAAGACGACGACGUUGAUAGGCCGGGUGUGUAAGCGCAGCGAUGCGUUGAGCUAACCGGUACUAAUGAACCGUGAGGCUUAACCUUACAACGCCGAAGCUGUU